UACGUAGGUGGCAAGCGUUGUCCGGAUUUACUGGGCGUAAAGCGCGCGCAGGCGGUUCUUCAAGUCAGAGGUGAAAGCCCAGAGCUCAACUCUGGAAUGGCCUUUUGAGACUAGAGAACUAGGGUACGGGAGAGGUGAGUGGAAUUCCGAGUGUAGAGGUGAAAAUGCGCAGAUAUCGGGGAGGAACACCUAUGGCGAAGGCAGCUCGCUGGGACGUUACUGACGCUGAGACGCGAAAAGCGUGGGGGAGCAAACAGG
rnacentral:rRNA from 1 species